UACAACGAGGAGAGAGAGAGAGGGUAUAAUGGAAGGGACACAAGAAGAAGGAGAGAGCGAGGGUCAUAUGGACAGGGACUACAAGAAGAAGGAGAGAGAGAGAGGGCAUAUGGAAGGGACUACAAGAAGACAGGAGAGAGAGAGAGGGUAUAUGGAAGGGAACUACAAGAGCAGGAGAGAGAGGGGUAUAUGAAGGGACUACAAGAAGAAGGAGAGAGAGGGUCUAUGGAAGGGACUUACAAGAAGAAGGAGAGAGGAGAAGGGUAUAGGAAGGGACUAAAGAAGAAGGAGAG
rnacentral:lncRNA from 1 species